rnacentral:lncRNA from 1 species
CAUACGAAUGAUCACGAGUCAGACAUUGAUUGGUUACCUUCUGUAGUGCACAAAUUGAUCAUGAGCACAACACGAACAUCAACACAUCUACUCAGUCUACGUGAGCAAAAUCUACAAUUAAUGAGUCUUCCGCCUACAACAUUAAUCGUUAAAGAACUAAAGCCUUAGAGAGAAAUUGAACUUAGAAUCCUAGUAUGGCUACAAUUUUGAGAAUACUGAAUAAGUGAAUAUUAUUAUAAGAGUUAUAUUUAUAGCACUACUUAUACACGCUAUAACUCAUGUUUCUCAAAUUAACGAUAAUGCAACGUAAGAGUGC